GGACAGAAGAGGAGAAGAUACAUAGAGAGACACACAGAGGAGAAGGCCUGUGAAGAUGGAAGCAGAGACUGGAGCGAUGGAGCCAAAGCCAAGGAAGCCAAGGGUUGUGGACACCCCCAGAAGCUGGAAGAGGCAGGAAGGACACUCCCCUGGAGCCUUCGGAGGGAGCACGGGCCUCUGACACCUGGAUUUUGGACUGCUGCCCUCCAGAACUGUAGAGAAGACCUUUCUGUUGUUUGAAGCCACCAAGUUUGUGGUAAUUUGUUCUGGCAACCCUGGGAAACUAACACAGUGGGCAUUACGCAAAAAGCCAGGGAGGAUGCUAAGCCGGUGAGGGAAGGAUCCACUUGGUGUCCUCUGCCCCUCCCCCACUCCUGGGGGAGUCUGGUUAAGACCCUGCCAGCAGCUCGCCCAGACAUCACAGUUGGCAAGGUGGCGAGUGAGGGUGACGGGAGGACGGACUUUUGGGGUGUUAACUUUGUCUCCCCCACUCAAGUGUGGGGCCCCUCCUGUGCACUUCAGACUCUCUUGACCUCAUCUCUGAUCCCAGCCUCAGUGGUGGCCAGGGCGGGUGGGCUCCACCCAGCUGCAGGCAGCAGGAGACCUGACAGCAUCUCACCCCAGGGUUCUCUAUCAACGCUGGACUCAGGAGGUGGCAGGAAGCCUCCCGGUGUCCACACGUGCACUAUCCGGAAAGCUAAAGCCAGCGAAUGAUGACAUAUUAAAGAAUAUCCUGAAGAAAACGUUUUGACAAGCAGUCUUCAAGUACAGUGACUUCGAAAGGAAGAGAUUGAAGCCCUGACGCCCCAUGUGAUUGUAUUAGGAGACGGAGCCUUUGGAAGGUAAUUGGGUUUAGGUGAGGUCCUGAAGGGGGGGUCCCCAGUAUGGGAUUAGUGCCAUUAUAAGGAGAUGAAGAGACAAGAGCUCGCUUUCUCCACAAAAUGAGGACACAGCAAGAAGGCAGCCAUCUGCAA
rnacentral:lncRNA from 1 species